UACGUAGGUGGCGAGCGUUGUCCGGAUUUACUGGGCGUAAAGGGAGCGUAGGCGGACUUUUAAGUGAGAUGUGAAAUACCCGGGCUCAACUUGGGUGCUGCAUUUCAAACUGGAAGUCUAGAGUCCAGGAGAGGAGAAUGGAAUUCCUAGUGUAGCGGUGAAAUGCGUAGAGAUUAGGAAGAACACCAGUGGCGAAGGCGAUUCUCUGGACUGUAACUGACGCUGAGGCUCGAAAGCGUGGGGAGCAAACAGGAUUAGAUACCCCGGUAGUCCCU
rnacentral:rRNA from 1 species